ensembl:misc_RNA Metazoa_SRP Metazoan signal recognition particle RNA
ACCGGGCACGGUGGCAUGUGCCUGUAGUCCCAGCUACUCCGGAGGCUGAGGUGGGAGGAUCGCUUGAGCCCAGGAGUUCUGGGCUGUAGUACGCUAUCCUAAUUGGGUGUCUGCACUAAGUUCGACAUCAAAAUAGUGACCUCCCAGGAGGGAGGGACCACCAGCUUGCCUAAGAAGCGGGGAACCCGCCAAGGUCGGAAACGGAGCAGAUCAAAACUCCCGUGCUGAUCAGUAGUGGGAUGGCACCUGUGAAUAGCCACUGCAGUCCAGCCUGGGCAAGAGUCCAUCUCUA